GAUGAACGCUAGCGGCAGGCUUAACACAUGCAAGUCGAGGGGUAACAGGGAAGCUUGCUUCCGCUGACGACCGGCGCACGGGUGCGUAACACGUAUGGAAUCUGCCCUUUACUGGAGAAUAGCCCGGAGAAAUCCGGAUUAAUGCUCCAUAAUAAACGAGAUGGCAUCAUCUUGUUUUGAAAGCUCCGGCGGUAAAGGAUGACCAUGCGCCUGAUUAGUUUGUUGGUGAGGUAACGGCUCACCAAGACUACGAUCAGUAGGGGGCCUGAGAGGGUUAUCCCCCACACUGGUACUGAGACACGGACCAGACUCCUACGGGAGGCAGCAGUGAGGAAUAUUGCGCAAUGGAGGCAACUCUGACGCAGCCAUGCCGCGUGCAGGAAGAAGGCGCUACGCGUUGUAAACUGCUUUUAAUCGGGAAGAAACCCCGGGACGUGUCCCGGGUUGACGGUACCGAUGGAAUAAGCACCGGCUAACUUCGUGCCAGCAGCCGCGGUAAUACGAAGGGUGCAAGCGUUAUCCGGAUUCAUUGGGUUUAAAGGGUGCGUAGGCGGAACAAUAAGUCAGCGGUGAAAGCCCGCAGCUUAACUGCGGAAUUGCCGUUGAUACUGUUGUUCUUGAGUGCGUUUGACGUGGGCGGGAUGUGCCGUGUAGCGGUGAAAUGCUUAGAUAUGGCACAGAACACCGAUAGUGAAGACAGCUCACGAAGACGAAACUGACGCUGAGGCACGAAAGCGUGGGGAUCAAACAGGAUUAGAUACCCUGGUAGUCCACGCCGUAAACGAUGAUCACUCGUGAUUGGCGAUACACUGUCAGUCACCUAGCGG
rnacentral:rRNA from 1 species